rnacentral:lncRNA from 1 species
AAAUAAUUUCAGAAGAUAUUUGAACUUUCUUCUUUUUUUAAGCUUUUACAUUAGAAAACCCUAUAACUUUUUUGCAACUUUAAUGGCAGCUUUUUCUUAGACGAGAUCCUCAUCAAACUCAAUCUCUUUGCCUCUCCUUUUCGCAGAUUUGACAGGUAUCUUCACCAGCAUCAAUAUCGUGCUUUUGCUUUGUUCGAGCUUCUGCCCUAACUUCACGAGGAGAAAGCUUGGGCUUGUUCUCUUCUUUUGCUUUGAAGCCUUUUUUAGUGAAUUUGCUAAGAAAACAUUCAAAUCAAAUGAAGAAAUAUCUUCUCCUUUAUCUUUUGUAGGGCUGUUCUUUGAAGAUAUCUUCUUCUUCAUUGAAAAUCAAGCUAAUCAGAGACGUUAAUGGAAAUAAGAAUUUUGAAUAAGAGGAAUAUUUU